AAAUUGAAGAGUUUGAUCAUGGCUCAGAUUGAACGCUGGCGGCAGGCCUAACACAUGCAAGUCGAACGGUAACAGGAAGCAGCUUGCUGUUUUGCUGACGAGUGGCGGACGGGUGAGUAAUGUCUGGGAAACUGCCUGAUGGAGGGGGAUAACUACUGGAAACGGUGGCUAAUACCGCAUAACGUCGCAAGACCAAAGAGGGGGACCUUCGGGCCUCUUGCCAUCAGAUGUGCCCAGAUGGGAUUAGCUUGUUGGUGAGGUAACGGCUCACCAAGGCGACGAUCCCUAGCUGGUCUGAGAGGAUGACCAGCCACACUGGAACUGAGACACGGUCCAGACUCCUACGGGAGGCAGCAGUGGGGAAUAUUGCACAAUGGGCGCAAGCCUGAUGCAGCCAUGCCGCGUGUAUGAAGAAGGCCUUCGGGUUGUAAAGUACUUUCAGCGGGGAGGAAGGUGUUGUGGUUAAUAACCGCAGCAAUUGACGUUACCCGCAGAAGAAGCACCGGCUAACUCCGUGCCAGCAGCCGCGGUAAUACGGAGGGUGCAAGCGUUAAUCGGAAUUACUGGGCGUAAAGCGCACGCAGGCGGUCUGUCAAGUCGGAUGUGAAAUCCCCGGGCUCAACCUG
rnacentral:rRNA from 1 species